rnacentral:rRNA from 1 species
GACGAACGCUGGCGGCGUGCUUAACACAUGCAAGUCGAACGGAAAGGCCCUGCUUUUGUGGGGUGCUCGAGUGGCGAACGGGUGAGUAACACGUGAGUAACCUGCCCUUGACUUUGGGAUAUCUUCAGGCAACUGGGGCUAAUACCGGAUAGGAGCUCCUGCUGCAUGGUGGGGGUUGGAAAGUUUCGGCGGUUGGGGAUGGACUCGCGGCUUAUCAGCUUGUUGGUGGGGUAGUGGCUUACCAAGGCUUUGAAGGGUAGCCGGCCUGAGAGGGUGACCGGCCACAUUGGGACUGAGAUACGGCCCAGACUCGAAUGGGAGGCAGCAGUGGGGAAUAUUGCACAAUGGGCGGGAGCCUGAUGCGACAACGCCGCGUGCGGGAUGACGUCCUUCGGGUUGGAAACCGCUGUCGCCUGUGACGAAGCGUGAGUGACGGUAAUGGGUAAAGAAGCACCGGCUAACUACGUG